rnacentral:rRNA from 1 species
UACGUAGGGUGCGAGCGUUGUCCGGAAUUAUUGGGCGUAAAGAGCUCGUAGGCGGUUUGUUGCGUCGGCCGUGAAAACCUGCAGCUUAACUGUGGGCCUGCGGCCGAUACGGGCAGACUUGAGUUCGGUAGGGGAGAUUGGAAUUCCUGGUGUAGCGGUGAAAUGCGCAGAUAUCAGGAGGAACACCGGUGGCGAAGGCGGGUCUCUGGGCCGAUACUGACGCUGAGGAGCGAAAGCGUGGGGAGCGAACAGG